AGAGUUUGAUCAUGGCUCAGAAUCAACGCUGGCGGCGUGCCUCAGACAUGCAAGUCGAACGAUUAAAGCUCUCUUCGGAGAGUGCAUAGAGUGGCGUACGGGAGAGUAACACGUAAGUAAUCUACCCUCGGGUGGGGAAUAACUUAAGGAAACUUAAGCUAAUACCGCAUAAUGCAGCGGCUCCUAAUGGAGACAGUUGUUAAAGCAUUUAUGCGCCUGGGGAGGAGCUUGCGGCAGAUUAGCUAGUUGGUAAGGUAACGGCUUACCAAGGCAACGAUCUGUAGCCGGUCUAAGAGGACGGUCGGUCUCACUGACACUGAAUAACGGGUCAGACUCCUACGGGAGGCAGCAGUCGGGAAUUUUGGGCAAUGGGCGAAAGCCUGACCCAGCAACGCCGCGUGAAGGAUGAAGUCUUUCGGGAUGUAAACUUCGGAAAUAUGGGAAGAAUAAGUGACGGUACCAUAUCUAAGGUCCGGCUAACUACGUGCCAGCAGCCGCGGUAAUACGUAGGGACCAAGCGUUGUUCGGAUUUACUGGGCGUAAAGGGUGCGUAGGCGGCGCUGCAAGUCAAUUGUGAAAUCUCCGGGCUUAACUCGGAACGGCCAAUUGAUACUGCAGUGCUAGAGUGCAGAAUGGGCAAGUGGAAUUCUUGGUGUAGCGGUGAAAUGCGUAGAUAUCAAGAGGAACACCUGAGGCGAAGGC
rnacentral:rRNA from 1 species